rnacentral:lncRNA from 1 species
GUACAGCAGUAGCACAAGCUACAACCUUGACUAUAUCUGGAACACAGCUUCUAUGUGCUCUCAGAAAAUACUUUCCAGAAAUUUUUCACCUCUGUGAUGCUGACCUCUUAAAAUCACCACUAAACUCUUAUCUCCAGCUAACUAACCAGCAUCAAUUUUCCCAGUAUUCCUUUUUAUUAUGGACUCUUAAGUCAGAGACAGAUGGCCAAAGCUAUGGAGUUCUGCUGCUUGCUGGCGCUGGAACAUGGCCUCCUUGUUUAAUUAUAUUACCACUAGCUUUCUGUUUUCCAUCUCUUUCAUUGCUUAAGCUUGGCUGUCCUGGAACUUGCUCUUUAGACUAACUUUGAACUCUCAAGAUGUGCAUUCCUAUCUCCUAAGCACUGGAAUUAAAGAUGUGGUCUACCAAGCCUGGAUAUAAGUUUCUUUUCACCUAGAACUUGCUCUGUUCUAAGCUGGCCUUGAACUCAGAUCUGCUUGUCUCUGCCUCCUGGGAUUAAAGGUUUGUAC